AUCAGCAAUGCCGCGUAAGUGAUGAAGGCCUUAGGGUUGUAAAGCUCUUUUACCCGGGAUGAUAAUGACAGUACCGGGAGAAUAAGCCCCGGCUAACUCCGUGCCAGCAGCCGCGGUAAU
rnacentral:rRNA from 1 species